rnacentral:ncRNA from 2 species
AUGACAAAUGCGGGAGAUAUUCCAAUGCGGAAUAGCCGAAGAUGCAAUAUAACUGGUGCCAGCCUUUUAUAGAAACUUUCAGGCAUAAGAACCGCUUUUUGAUG